rnacentral:rRNA from 1 species
CCGACCUUGAAAUACCACCCUUUAAUGUUUGAUGUUCUAACGUGGACCCGUAAUCCGGGUUGCGGACAGUGUCUGGUGGGUAGUUUGACUGGGGCGGUCUCCUCCUAAAGAGUAACGGAGGAGCACGAAGGUUGGCUAAUCCUGGUCGGACAUCAGGAGGUUAGUGCAAUGGCAUAAGCCAGCUUGACUGCGAGCGUGACGGCGCGAGCAGGUGCGAAAGCAGGUCAUAGUGAUCCGGUGGUUCUGAAUGGAAGGGCCAUCGCUCAACGGAUAAAAGGUACUCCGGGGAUAACAGGCUGAUACCGCCCAAGAGUUCAUAUCGACGGCGGUGUUUGGCACCUCGAUGUCGGCUCAUCACAUCCUGGGGCUGAAGUAGGUCCCAAGGGUAUGGCUGUUCGCCAUUUAAAGUGGUACGCGAGCUGGGUUUAGAACGUCGUGAGACAGUUCGGUCCCUAUCUGCCGUGGGCGCUGGAGAACUGAGGGGGGCUGCUCCUAGUACGAGAGGACCGGAGUGGACGCAUCACUGGUGUUCGGGUUGUCAUGCCAAUGGCACUGCCCGGUAGCUAAAUGCGGAAGAGAUAAGUGCUGAAAGCAUCUAAGCACGAAACUUGCC